GAUAUCAUGAUUGUACUAUUACAACUACCAGUGGCAAUAUUAUCAGACCAACAACUAAGUGUGCUAAUUGACAAAGCUCAAGGUCGUUGUGAAGGUAUAUAAUCGAGAUCAACCUAAUUGAAAGCCCACACCUAUAAAGUUAAGAGGUCCUGCAGUCUUAUUAUUGAUAAUCACGACCAUGGGCUACGG